ensembl:lncRNA SOX9-AS1 SOX9 antisense RNA 1
GGGGGUGCUGCGGGGAAGGCGGGGGACCCGGGACUUCCAAGUGUUCUGGCCAUGGAGGCAUGGUAUCCGUAACAUCCCCCAAAGGAGCUAAAGAAGAAAUCCACAAUUUACCAUGAGCAUUUCUCGUCUGAAGAUUGCCAAGCGAUUCCUCCAGGACAUUCCUCAAGAUCAAUUUCUGUUCAUCCACCUUGUCCUGGGAGGGACAUCAAUGGGUUUCCAUGUCCUUUGGCUUCUGGUUGAGUUCACUCAGUGGAGAACCCUGGCAAGAGGCAGGAAAAGGGGAGGAAGGCUUUAUGAUACAUGUGUUGAAUGUGCAGUUUGCUGAGAAUGAUGGUUUCCAGCUUCAUCCAUGUCCCUACAAAGGACAUGAACUCAUCCUUUUUAUGGCUGCAUAGUAUUCCAUGCCUGACCGGUUUGAAUUUCACCUUCUGUUCACCUUGGAUGAGAGCAGUAAUCAUCACGAUCCCAGGGAACAGCCAAAGGAAGAGAAAAGGCAAAAGAUUUGGACAAGACUCAUGAAGACUAACAGCUCUUGGAUAAUUGAGAGAAGGCAGCUGCGUGAACAGUUUUGAUGCAAUCAUGAAGGCAGGGCCCAGUGCCUGUGGCAUCUGCCUUUUUCUGGAACCAAUCCAUAUUUCCUUGUGGUUUUCUAAGGUGCAGAGAGGGCACAUUGGGAACUUUGCUUGGGGUCUUUUUCACAUCUUAGAGGGAAGGUCCCUCAACAUCUGCAUUGGCGGAGUGUGAUCCUCAUGUCCCUCUGAAUGAUCUGGACUUGAGGUAACCAGCCCCUUCCAGGAAGCUGUCCCAUGAGUGAAGCCUCAGCAGCAGCCUCUGUCAGUCCCUCCCCCACAGAACCUUUGGCUUCCAUUUGACCAGCCUUGACAUCCAGUGUCCAAACACCGAUAAAAUUGAUUCCACUAAGCGUGGGAAAGUCCUGGAGCAUCGAUUGUUUCCUCCUCUGCACCCCCGAUACCCUGGCAUUAGCACUCUCCCAGAAUGUACCUUGCUUGUUUGAUUGGAGGAGGUCAAAGCCCUGAUGAAGAAUGAGUGGAAUUCCACAGGAUUGGAGCAGUCUUGAUAAAUGACAGCAGGGGAUGGUGUGGGGAGGGGAAAGGAUCAGAGGAAGUGUGGAUAAAUGAAUGGCUUAAAAAAUAA